rnacentral:rRNA from 1 species
UACGAAGGGGGCUAGCGUUGCUCGGAAUCAUGUACGUGGGCGUAAAGGGUGCGUAAGGCGGGUCUUUAAGUCAAGGGGUGAAACUCCUGGGAGCUCAACUCCAGAACUGCCUUUGAUACUGAAGAUCUUGAGUUCGGGGAGAGGUGAGUGGAACUGCGAAGUGUAGAGGUGAAAUUCGUAGAUAUUCGCAAGAACACCAGUGGCGAAGGCGGCUCACUGGCCCGAUACUGACGCUGAGGUGCGAAAGCGAUGGGGAGCA